AGCGAACGCUGGCGGCAGGCCUAACACAUGCAAGUCGAACGAACCCCUCGGGGUUAGUGGCGGACGGGUGAGUAACACGUGGGAACGUGCCUUUAGGUUCGGAAUAAUUCAGGGAAACUUGGACUAAUACCGGAUACGCCCUUCGGGGGAAAGAUUUAUCGCCGAUAGAUCGGCCCGCGUCUGAUUAGCUAGUUGGUGAGGUAAUGGCUCACCAAGGCGACGAUCAGUAGCUGGUCUGAGAGGAUGAUCAGCCACAUUGGGACUGAGACACGGCCCAGACUCCUACGGGAGGCAGCAGUAGGGAAUCUUGCGCAAUGGGCGAAAGCCUGACGCAGCCAUGCCGCGUGAAUGAUGAAGGUCUUAGGAUUGUAAAAUUCUUUCACCGGGGAAGAUAAUGACGGUACCCGGAGAAGAAGCCCCGGCUAACUUCGUGCCAGCAGCCGCCGUAACAC
rnacentral:rRNA from 1 species